AUCCUUAUUGCUAGGGCAUUACGUGUAUCAGUGAGGAUUCGUCCGAGAUCAUGUUUUUGCUAGUUGAAAACUUCAACAAGACUGCUCUCUUGUGUUUGAGCCCUUGUGCUUUGRACACUCGAGGAAUUUUUGGACAUAUUUUACUUUA
rnacentral:snRNA from 1 species